rnacentral:misc_RNA from 1 species
GUAGGUGAACCUGCGGAAGGAUCAUUACCUUUCAGUACAGAAGCGUUGUGUUGGUUGAGUUGUGCCGGUUGAGUCUCGCUGAGAGGUGGGACUCCUGGUGGCAACUCCCUUCAUAAUUCUCCCUGUCUAUCAUCCUUGUCUUUUGCGUACUAUUGUUUCCUCGGUGGGCUUGCCUGCCGGUUGGACAACCUUAUAACCUAUUUAAUUUUCAAUCAGCGUCUGAAAUAAUAUAAUAAUUACAACUUUCAACAACGGAUCUCUUGGUUCUG